UACGUAGGUGGCAAGCGUUAUCCGGAUUUAUUGGGCGUAAAGGAACGCAGGCGGUCUUUUAAGUCUGAUGUGAAAGCCUUCGGCUUAACCGGAGUAGUGCAUUGGAAACUGGGAGACUUGAGUGCAGAAGAGGAGAGUGGAACUCCAUGUGUAGCGGUGAAAUGCGUAGAUAUAUGGAAGAACACCAGUGGCGAAAGCGGCUCUCUGGUCUCUAACUGACGCUGAGGUUCGAAAGCGUGGGUAGCAAACAGG
rnacentral:rRNA from 1 species